UGAUUAUUAUUGGAUUCAAAAAAUUUAUUAGCCAAAUUUUGUAAAGUGGCUUGAGGUUGGGCAUUUUUUGUUGAAAAGAAGACUUCAUUUACGAGCAAUCUGGUUAUUUGUAGCCAGGAGAAAAGAGAAUUCUAUUUCAACCAUAGGAUGAUUAUAGAGACGAAAUCAAUAAUAAUAGUACUAGACUAGUUUUGAAACUAAUGAAGUUAGUCUAUUGCAAUAGUAGAUCAGAUGCCAAAAAGUUAAAACGAUCAGACCAUUUUAAAAAUAAGCUUCAUGGGAUGUGGGCC
rnacentral:lncRNA from 1 species